UUCUUAGAGAGGAGUAUAAGGAAGUUGGAUUUCAGUCCUGGUGGAAUCAAUACUAUAUUUCAAGUCAGUGACCUCAAGAACUCACCUGGUCCAGGGAAAAGGGAACUUCGAAUUGCUACUAGGCAGGCCUUGCAAUUGCUUCAGGAUAAUUAUCCCGAAUUCGUUGCUAAGCAGGUGUUUAUCAAUGUGCCUUGGUGGUAUUUAGCUUUCUACACAAUGAUCAGCCCAUUCAUGACGCAGAGAACAAAAAGCAAGUUUGUAUUUGCUGGUCCAUCAAAG
rnacentral:misc_RNA from 1 species